UACAGAGGUCUCAAGCGUUGUUCGGAAUUACUGGGCGUAAAGGGUGCGCAGGCUGCGCGGGAAGUCAAAUGUGAAAUUCAGGGGCUCAACCCCUGCAUUGCGCUUGAUACUUCCGCGCUCGAGCCUUGGAAAGGAGUCUGGAAUUCUCGGUGUAGCAGUGAAAUGCGUAGAUAUCAGGAGGAACACCGGUGGCGAAGGCGGGUCUCUGGGCCGAUACUGACGCUGAGGAGCGAAAGCGUGGGGAGCGAACAGG
rnacentral:rRNA from 1 species